GACGAACGCUGGCGGCGUGCUUAACACAUGCAAGUCGAACGGAAAGGCCCUGCUUUUGUGGGGUGCUCGAGUGGCGAACGGGUGAGUAACACGUGAGUAACCUGCCCCUGACUGUGGGAUAACUUCAGGAAACUGGGGCGAAUACCGGAUAGGAGCUCCUGCUGCAUGGGGGGGGUUGGAAAGUUUCGGCGGUUGGGGCUGGACUCGCGGCUUAUCAGCUUGUUGGUGGGGUAGUGGCUUACCAAGGCUUCGACGGGUAGCCGGCCUGAGAGGGUGACCGGCCACCUUGGGACUGCGAUACGGCCCAGUAUCCUACGGGCGGCAGCAGUGGGGAAUCUUGCACAGUGGGCGCACGCCUGAUGCAGCAGCGCCGCGUGCGGAAUGCCCGCCUUCGGGUUGUAAACCGCUUUCGACUGUGCCGAAGCGUGAGUGACGGUACUGGGUCAAGAAGCACCGGCUAACUACGUG
rnacentral:rRNA from 1 species